rnacentral:rRNA from 1 species
CCUACGGGUGGCAGCAGUAGGGAAUCUUCCACAAUGGGCGAAAGCUUGAUGGAGCAACGCCGCGUGGGUGAUGAAGGUCUUCGGAUCGUAAAAUCCUGUUGUUAGAGAAGAAAGUUCGCGAUAGUAACUGUUCACGUUCUGACGGUACCUAAUCAGAAAGCUACGGCUAACUACGUGCCAGCAGCCGCGGUAAUACGUAGGUGGCAAGCGUUAUCCGGAAUUAUUGGGCGUAAAGGGAUCGUAGGCGGUCUUUUAAGUCUGAUGUGAAAGCCUUGGGCUUAACCCGGGUAGUGCAUUGGAAACUAGGAGACUUGAGUGAAGAAGAGGAGAGUGGAACUCCAUGUGUAGCGGUGAAAUGCGUAGAUAUAUGGAAGAACACCAAUGGCGAAGGCAGCUCUCUGGUCUGAAACUGACGCUGAGGUUCGAAAGCGUGGGUAGCAAACAGGAUUAGAUACCCCGGUAGUC